rnacentral:rRNA from 1 species
GUCGACGGGUAGCCGGCCUGAGAGGGCGACCGGCCACACUGGGACUGAGACACGGCCCAGACUCCUACGGGAGGCAGCAGUGGGGAAUAUUGCACAAUGGGCGAAAGCCUGAUGCAGCGACGCCACGUGAGGGAUGACGGCCUUCGGGUUGUAAACCUCUUUCAGCAGGGAAGAAGCGCANGUGACGGUACCUGCAGAAGAAGCGCCGGCUAACUACGUGCCAGCAGCCGCGGUAAUACGUAGGGCGCAAGCGUUGUCCGGAAUUAUUGGGCGUAAAGAGCUCGUAGGCGGUCUGUCGCGUCUGGUGUGAAAUCCCAUGGCUCAACCAUGGGCUUGCAUCGGGUACGGGCAGACUAGAGUGCUGUAGGGGAGACUGGAAUUCCUGGUGUAGCGGUGGAAUGCGCAGAUAUCAGGAGGAACACCGAUGGCGAAGGCAGGUCUCUGGGCCGUUACUGACGCUGAGGAGCGAAAGCAUGGGGAGCGAACAGGAUUAGAUACCCUGGUAGUCCAUGCCGUAAACGUUGGGCACUAGGUGUGGGGCGGGUUCCACUCGUUCUGUGCCGCAGCUAACGCAUUAAGUGCCCCGCG